rnacentral:lncRNA from 1 species
CCCGCGCGGGGCGGGGGGCUGCGGAGAAGCUGGGGUGCGGCGCGCGGAAGCCCCGCCACGCUCCGGAACGCGCGGGGAGCAAAGGCGGCGGGGGCGAGGGAGACCCUCCUCGGAUGGGCAGCCGCUGCAAAUUCCGGGGUGCACGGCCACGCGCUGCGGGGCGCUGGCAGCGCGGCGUAGGAUGCACCGAUCCUAGACCCCCCCCACACCUGCGAUGAAAAGGGGGCUGUCAGAGCAGCGGAGGUUAGAAAGAGGAAGGGGUGCGAUGCAGCCUCACCCCCCCCUCAACCUUCUAGAAACAAAAUGAAAAGGGAUGCAAAAAUAGACGGCUGCAAAAGCCGAGCGAGACGCAGGAAAAAUAGGGGUGCAAGGAGGCGAGGGAGGGGUGGGGGAGGGGGCUGCCCCGAAAUCCAAGAUGCAAAGAGCCUGUGGAAAGGGACCGGGUGGCCGCUCAAGGCUCCUCCGCCAAGCGGAGACCGCCACACCAGUGGUGGCUCGGCCGCGGGGGUGGGGCAGGGACGCGCAAUUGGGGGACAGCCAGGGAUGGGGGUCCCCUCGGGCGGAGGCUCCGCUCCUCAGCAGUGCGGGGCCGGCGGUCGUGGCGCGCAGUCUUUAUACUAGGCGGCUGUGGGGGGCCCGCCCCCUUCCCACCCCCAGAAGCCCCGCCUCCUCGCCGCUGGCCCGGGCGACCUCAUACAUAUGCAAAUAUGGAGAGCGGGAUUGGGUCCGCCCCCCUGCCGCCGCUUUAAGACCCGGAGGUCUCUCCCCCCUCCCCCCACUCCAGGUACCAGACUGGAUCAGGUGGAUGGAGGGGCUAGAGGGCGUGUCCGGGCGGAGCAAAGGGAAGGAGAACCCCAGAGAGACGAAGAGCUGGAGAGGGAAGCCGAAGGGGCCCCUGGCCGCCCCGUUGGAGACUGAGAUCCAAAGACGGACAGGGCCAAAUAUCCUGUCGCUGUGACUUGGAGAGGUGUUUCUUCUCCUUCGACUUUCCCCCAGUAUCCUUGGCUCUCAUCCUCACCUGUGCCCCUUCUGACUCUCGGGUUCGCCCUCAAAUUCUCUCCCUCCAGCCCAGCUUCAUGGACUCGGGGUCUGUUCAGACAAAGCCCCUGCUCCUCAGAAUGGCCUUGUGCUUGGUUCAGUGCUCUGCUUUCACCACCUUAUAACUCUUCAUAGUUUUGUCUUUGAACUUGUAAUUUGGGCAUGAAGUCCAGAGGGACAAUGGAGGAUAGUGUGUGAGCCGAGGAGGUACACGGAAUGUGCCACGUGCGUGGGCUCCAGUGGCCCCACCACGCGUGGGGGCUCAGAGAGACUCAGUGAGGACACGGCAAGUGUGUCAUGCGCACAGCUGAGUAACGGGGUGCUGACAGCUGAGAGAGGCCACACUUCACAUUCGAAGCAGAACCUGAACCCUGGAAGGCAACGGCCUUCUGGAAGACGCAGGUGACCAACCGCGUCUGCUGGUGACAAUGAGAAGGAAGGAAAGGGGGACGUUGUUCCGCCCGUAAUUCCGUUUGCUUCCAGUCCUUCUGUGCUCAUCAGUAAGUCGAAGGCAGAAAAAUGUGAAUUUUUCUUUAUAUCGAACAACGUUAACUAGCAAAACCCCAUGAGAAGUCGAGAAAAGAACCACAGAAGGAAGGAAAACAUUUUCUCUUUCAGGACCGUGAACGGUGCUUUUUUCCCCGCUUCCUGACCGAGGUGAUUCCACAUCUUCGUUUGGCACCAUGUCCUGCAACAGUGGGUCCUGCUUCAGUUUUUUCUACAGUCUCUGGAUUAAUUUUCUCCAGAUACAGUUUUAAUUAGGCCACUCCUCACCUCAAAGGUCCUCGCUGGCUUCCGGUUGCCCUGCAGGACGGAGUCCUGAUUCUUUUGUCCAACCCUCAGCGCAUUCCACCGCCUAGACCCAGCCUGCGUCCCCAGCCUCCUUUCCCACUAGGACCUGACUGGUCCUCUGCUGGAGCUGAGCUGGCCACUCCCAGGACGGGCUGUGCUCCCUCACUCCUGACUUCACACCUUUGUCCAUUCCAUUCCCUCCUCCUGGAAGGCGGCCCACCCUUCAGAGUCCAGCCCCAACUCCAUUCAUUCACUCAAUGCGUAUCUAAUGAGCAUUUACUUAGAGCCAGGCACUGUUCUGCUCCCUGGGCUCCUGGGACUCUCAUUCCAAUAAACAAUGAAAACAAGCAAACAACUAAAACAAUGUAGUGUAAUAUUAUGCAGAAAAAAUAAAACAGGGUGAUGUGCCAGAAUGCCCCUGGAUGGGCAGGGAGGGCCUUACUGAAGAGCUAACGUUCAGUGUGAGACCCAAGGAACCCAAAGAACCACGGGACCUGAGGAGAAGAAUCUUCCAGGAGGAGGAAAGUCUAAGUGCAAGAGCUGGGCUUCAGUGAGGGGAAGGCAAGGUUAAUGUAGCAAGAGAU